GCCAGUGCCCAAUGCACGACUCGGCAUCAAGCGCUGGUUGAAGCUGUACUCUGGAGUAAGCUCUGAUAUGCGACUCGACUGAUUAGGGUUAGCCGCGGCACUAAGAAGGUACACCGUAGCCGCAUCCGGCUUAGCGGCAGACCUGGCGACUUUCACGUCACUUCAUGCUUCAUUCCUUACAUAAGACGCUUGAGACAGUGUCAACAAUGCGUUCAACGACUUUGUCCUUGUCCAAAAAGCUCCCCAGGAUGAAUAGACACAAUCUACAGCACGUUGACAAAUGCUCAAGGAGAGAUCUCUGUUGUAUUCGCCGUGAGCUAGGACUGUGUUCUUGCAGUCAUUCGGAAUAAUCAGACUCGCCACGAGUCUAUGACGUGAAAUCCAUCAAAAAGAAGACCAUGGGGUUGAAUCCAUCACCAUCGAAUCGUACUUCGGUGUCUGGUCGAAACCUUAACAUAUCCACGAUCCAAUAGUAUACAUCCAAGUGAUAUGAUUGACAUACAUCCAACCCCGCACUUUCUACCCCGGAAUGGAUGAUGCCGGUCGGUUGGCGUCACCUAGCUGUGUUCCAUGGGAUGCUAGACCUCGAACCCUUGAUCCUAGCUUGCUUGGCUUUUGAGGAGUGAGGGAUUGAUUUGUGAUUUGUAGAGUGUUUAUCUAAACUACUUAGCGAAAGUUAACUAGUUAACUAAAUUAAUAUAACAGAAGAACAGAGGAGAUAACAACCAUCAGUGCUGAUUCGAUGCUUAAAUUGAAUCGAAUCAGGCAC
rnacentral:lncRNA from 1 species